GAUGGAGAGGGGCAUUGGCUCAUAUUUUAAUACAGUGUGCAUUAAACGAUGUUUAUCUCUCAUUGGAUAGAGUACUCUUUUUGUUGAUCCAACUUUAACAGAACAGCAAGAUAUA